rnacentral:tRNA from 1 species
GGCUCCAUAGUGUAGUGGUUAGCAUGUCUGAUUUACACGCAGAGGGUCCUAGGUUCGCAACCCAGGUGGAGCCA